rnacentral:rRNA from 1 species
GAUGAACGCUGGCGGUAUGCUUAACACAUGCAAGUCGAACGGACUCUUCGGAGUUAGUGGCGGACGGGUGAGUAACGCGUGAGAAUCUGGCUUUGGGUUCGGGACAACCACUGGAAACGGUGGCUAAUACCGGAUGUGCCGAGAGGUAAAAGAGAAAUUGCCUGAAGAUGAGCUCGCGUCUGAUUAGCUAGUUGGUGAGGUAAAGGCUCACCAAGGCAGCGAUCAGUAGCUGGUCUGAGAGGAUGACCAGCCACACUGGGACUGAGACACGGCCCAGACUCCUACGGGAGGCAGCAGUGGGGAAGUUUCCGCAAUGGGGGAAAGCCUGACGAAGCAAUACCGCGUGAGGGAAGAAGGAUCUUGGGUUGUAAACCUCUUUUCUUAGGGAAGAAAACAAUGCCGGUACCUAAGGAAUCAGCAUCGGCUAACUCCGU